UUUUUUUUAUAAGGAUCAAGGAACUUUGUAGUCUAUGUUAAAUAAUUCUCUUAUCUUAAUACUUCGAUUGUAUUUUAUUAACGAGUAAAGAAAGGAAAAUUUAAAAGGCAUACGUAUAAGAAAAUAUAAAGAGGUAUAACUUAACGUAAACGAGACUAUUCAGGAUCUAAACUCUAAACAGCAGCCACAUGGAACGUUCACGCUUGUCAGAAUAAAUUAACGGAAUAAAAGUCAACGAUACCCUAAUGAUACCAUUGUGCUUCUAUGUUCUGGCAAUUUAUGCGCAUUUAAGAAUUUUCGACGAACCAAAACGGACGUUAUGCGUUGAAUAGCCGUGAAAGUGAACCCUCCGCCAGACACAAAACAAUCUUUCUCGUAUCCCUGAAAAGGGUCUACAAGAAUUUUGAAAGAAAUUCGAGCGACUGAAAAUCGAAAACUGUAAUAGCUUUAAUAUGUUGGGAAUAUAUAAGAUGAUCUAUAUUUACAAAAUAAAAAGAAUGCAUAUAAAAUGAGAUUAGAAAUUUUAUCGAUUUGAGACAUAUGCUAUAUGUAUAUAAUGUUAACUUUUUUAUGGAGAUUAAAAAAUUUCAUCUAUUUAGGUUAAUUACAAUUAUUUCUCUUAAAGAAUUAUAAAUAAUUGAAACGUGGUACUCGUUUAAUAUCAUGGAAAAGAAAGAUUAAAGUAAACGUUUGUAUUAUUGAAUACUUUAGUUUUGGAAGGUUUUUUCAAAACACAAAAUAGUGAAAAGAAAUUUUGUAUAUUGUUUACUAUAGUAUCACUAAGUUAAUUACCAACUAAAAUAUUACUAAAUAUCGCUUUGUGAUUCUUAAGGCGUAUGAAACGAUCUACAAUGAAAAGUCGGGAAAGGGAAAUGAUUUUAUAAGAAAAAGAAAGCUUAGAAUAAUGAAGUCACUGGUCCUAGGGACGACACAGCAGGUGGCAUCGCUUUCGGAAAGACGAAAAAAAUGUGUAGCGGCGAACUUUCACCGGUUAAUGAGACGUUAAUGCAACAAAUGGCACUCCUGUGGUUAAAAUGUAACUUAACGAAUGUAAAAUGUCACCGUCGCGAUUGGACAUCCAUCUUGGAAUGAUUACUUAUAAUUAAGAUUUCGUAUUCGCUUUCCCCGAGAUGAAUAUUCGAUUAUUGGUAAAAAGAAAUAUCAACUAGUUAGCCGUUUUAGCUAUAAGGAAAUUGUAAAUGCGUGCGUAUUCCAUGAAAAGUUCCUCGUAAAGUAAUCAGCUUCUCGGUAGAGCAUUCGAUUUAAGUGUUUCUCGCAUUAACGUGUCUAUGGGAUAGCUAUUGAUACACUGCUGAGAAAUUCCUUCGUGAGAAACAUAUAAUGUAAGAUUACACUUUUUUGUUUAGUGAACGACGAAUCUCAUUUGUUCGUUUUAUUGAGAACAUAUUCAACAAAGCAGCAAAUAUUAUUUCCAUUUUUAAAGCGUAUUUUAAUUUAUUUAUUUACCUUGUGUUAACUGAAUCACAGUCAUCAGAGAUUGCUUCAAGCAGUUUGAUAGCUUGUAAAUAAAUUUGUUAUUCGGAUCCUAGAGGAAUUAAUAUUAUUUGUAACUCUUCUAAAUCGAUAUACAUAUACAUACAUAGAAUUUUGACUGUGAUUGCAAAGAUAGAAUACAAGGAAAGAAUACAAAGAUACGCUUACAUAUUUCAAUAUUUUAGGUAAAAGUUGAAAAACGCUGUAUUCAUUUUCUCAUCUCUCUCUAUCUACUCUAUAUAUGGUUCCAACGAUUUUAAAAACUGUCUAAAUUUCCAAAAAAUAUCCAUAUCAGAUUACAUCGAGAUCAAAUUGUACAUAAGUAUUGCUGUAACGAAUAUUGAUAUGUUAACGAUAACGAGACUAUUUUUUAGUUGUUCUUGGAACUGGAUAGUUUAAAAAAGAAGAGAGGAAAAGCAAAAAAUAGAACCAAUAAUAGUAAAACGCAUCGUCUCUGUUAUGAAGCGCAGUCAGCGAGCAAGUAUCACGAAUGCGGGAGCUGGCGAGGUAACGGAGGCGCAUAAACCUCGGUUAUGGUACCAAGAUAAGUUCGAGCAUAGUCCUAGUAUGGUCAUGACAGGGAAAACCACGAAUUUCGCGAGAACAGACUCCGUGGUUAUUACAAAGAUCAUUGGAUUCCUCGAAGAAGACGCACCGAAAUUGGAGUGAGCAAUAAACCAGCGCAUUGAUUUUCAAUCCUAGCUCGAUGCUUUCCACGAAUUUUCUAGUGAAGUGCUUUUCCAAUUUGCUACGUUGCACAGAAUGGCAUGCAGUGGAUACAAAUCGAAAUAAUCAUUGCCUGAUAUUGAUCUUAUUAUUCGAUAAUAUCCUCAGUCUGUAAGUAAUUAAUAUAAAUGUAAACAAUGGUUUCCCAAAAUAUCGAUAGAGAAUUAAUAAAAAUGUGAAAUCCACUCAUAAUCACGACUUGGUUGAAGAUUUCUGACCACGCCUAUUUCAAGAAAAUUGUAAAAGUUACAUAAAAAUGCUGUAUUUCAUUAAAUGUCAGCAUGAUAUCUGACGG